GACAGAGGGUGCAAACGUUGUUCGGAAUUACUGGGCGUAAAGCGUGUGUAGGCGGCCAGAUAAGUUGGAUGUGAAAGCCCCGGGCUCAACCCGGGAAGUGCAUUCAAAACUGUUUGGCUUGAGUACUGGAGAGGUUGGUAGAAUUCUCGGUGUAGAGGUGAAAUUCGUAGAUAUCGAGAGGAAUACCGGUGGCGAAGGCGGCCAACUGGACAGAUACUGACGCUGAGACACGAAAGCGUGGGGAGCAAACAGG
rnacentral:rRNA from 1 species